rnacentral:tRNA from 1 species
GGCUGGCUGGCUCGGUCAGUAGAGCAUGUGACUCUUGAUCGUGGGAUUGUGGGUUCGAGCCCUACGUUGGGCG